GGUAACUUUGGAGAAGCUGGUUGACUUCUGGCUUCGUGGCUCAUUGAAUUCAUUCGCCAACUAUUUGUCGAUAACGUUAAACUGCAUACGGGGGAAAAUGUAUUCAUUAGCCGCACUUGUAGCUGUAGUUCUGCUCAGUUCGGAGGUUUUUGGGAAAACUGUAACGGGACUUUUUAAGAGCGAAGCAGCGAGACAGCAGAAGGGCCAGUUCAUCACUAAAUUCAUGUACCAAGGUGACAACGGCCUGCUGGUGUGCAGGCUGGACAACUCUGCUCUGGCUACAGAGAAGGAGUCCAGGUUGCUGUUGUAUCGGGAUAUGGACUCAGACCUGGACAACCUCAGCUGCCCUGAGAGGCUCGCUAAAGCUCAGUUCACCAUUUCUCUCAAUCAAGAAGAACUCAACCACACGAUCCCUCAUCAGUCCACACCUACAGCCUGGCAGGCCCUGUAUUCUGACAGAUACACAUGUCAGGAGAGUGCAGUGAUACCUUCUUAUGCUGAUCUCAGUUUUACUGUCUUGCUGUUUAACGCCGACUCGGCGGGAAAUCCACUGGAGCACUUCAGCGCAGAGGAGGCAGGUCUCCAAAGUUUCUACUUCCUCCUGCUGCUGGCCUACUUCGUGGCCUGCUGUAUCUACAUCAAGCCUCUGUAUCAGGCUCUGAGGAAAGGAGGUCCCAUGCACACUGUCCUCAGAGUGCUGACCACGGCACUGGCAUUACAGGGCUGCUCAGCUCUCUGCAACUACAUCCACUUGGCCAGGUAUUCCAGGGAUGGUGUUGGUAUUCCAGUGAUGGGCAGCCUGGCAGAGUUUUGGGAUAUGGUGUCCCAGGUGUCCAUGCUGUACAUGAUACUGAGUCUAUGUAUGAGCUGGACCCUGAGUCGAGGCAGGAAGCCUCAGUCCAGACCUCUGCAGUGGGAACAGAGUCCGGCAUCCACGGCGGUCGCUGUUGGUGGAGUCGUUACCCAGGGAGCGUUGCUGCUGUGGGAGCAGUAUUCAGAAGCAGAGAGUGAACAUCACAGCUACCACACCCAGCAGAGUCUGGCAGGUCUCCUCCUCAUGGCCCUGAGAGUGGCCCUGGCCCUCCUGCUGGCCUCUGUCCUCUAUCAGAUCACAUCAACUGAGAGGAGCACCCUGAAGAGAGACUUCUACCUCUGCUUCGCCAAGGGAUGCUUCCUGUGGUUCCUCUGCCACCCCGUCCUCUUCCUCAUGUCAGCUGUCUUCAACGAGCAUCAGAGGGAGAAGGUGGUGACCAUCGGUGUGAUCCUCUGCCAGUCCAUCUCCAUGGUGACCCUCUACCAGCUCUUCCUGUCUCGUUCUCUCUACUGGGAGGUCUCCUCUCUGUCCUCAGUGUCUCUGCCGCUCACCAUGUCGAGGACGAACCACAGGGGGCGCUACUGAGCGCACCCAUGCUUUACCAGAUCAUCAUGAGCGAGGGAGAACAUGCUACCACACGGAGGCUUGCCCUCCGUUAAGCUCCUUGAGAGGAGGGAGAACUUCUGAGCGUGAUGAAGAAGCAGAGAAGACGAGAAGUCCUGUUACUGUUUCCUGCAGACAAUUUAACAGGGAACUACAGCAUGGGUCACAGAAUGACCAGAGGAAGAUAUUUUCAGCUACACCCUACCUCUAGUUGCAAAGGAUUUUUGACUGGAACAUUACUGAGAGGAGAGAUAUUUAAUGCAGGGCUACCUAGAGAGGGUGCUCCAGGCUUUCAAGUGGUUUCUUGUGCUCACCAAAGUACAAUUUCAAAACUGACCAACACAAGCGUGAUGAAGACGCCAACGUCAGGAUUUUAGGAUGCAUGUGCUGGUGAGCUAGAUGUUAUGAAGAAAAGACUGACUAAUGUUAGAUAUAGUUCCUUGCACACAGUGCAGCAGACCAGAGGUGGAGAUGGUGGUUUAGUCAUCAAGGACAUAACCCACAAUCAGCACACUUGAGAGGAAAUUCACAAGCUGACAGCAUGAACUUAUAUAAACUGCAUGACACACUGCAUGCCUGAUCCUUUUCCAUUGACUGGAGCACCUGGGCUUUAAUGCUUCAGCUCUGUGUGAAUGGGAAUAAAACAUGACCUCAAGUGUGUUUUAACAACACAGCAGAUCAGGAGAAACCAAAGUCUGCUAAGAGCUACAGACAUGGCAUCUAAUGAACCCCACUAUGUAAAUACAAUGAUAUUCCCAAUUUCACACUCUUACUUUCUAAAAUGAUUCAGCUCUGGUAUUGGCACAUUGUGACUUCCUGUGUGUGCUCAUUAACCGACCUUUCAUUAGAGCCCAGUGGGAACAGGCCUGUAGUUUCAUUUGACUUUGACACGUUUCGUAUGCUGAAAAAUUAAAUUCCACUUAAACUGAUGGCUGACAUAGUUAUCAGCAUAGACAUGUUUAUUCAUCUUGUAUUUAUUUUUCAUAAAGCUAAAUCAGGUACUGCACAGCAUGAUGGUUAAUUUGAGUGUUUUAUGAAAUUACAUUAAUGCCUUUAAGUAGCUGUGAUUUAAUGACUUUAUUAACCGUUCUUUGUCUGCAAAAUUUUAAACAUUUCCUCACGCAGCAGGUACUUUCAGUUAUUUUGAGCAGGACCCAUUAAAAACUGACAAGGGCUUUGA